rnacentral:rRNA from 1 species
UGGGGAAUAUUGCACAAUGGGCGCAAGCCUGAUGCAGCAACGCCGCGUGAACGAUGAAGGUCUUCGGAUCGUAAAGUUCUGUUGCAGGGGAAGAUAAUGACGGUACCCUGUGAGGAAGCCCCGGCUAACUACGUGCCAGCAGCCGCGGUAAUACGUAGGGGGCUAGCGUUAUCCGGAUUUACUGGGCGUAAAGAGCUUGUAGGCGGUUCGUCGCGUCCGGUGUGAAAGCCCAUCGCUUAACGGUGGGUUUGCGCCGGGUACGGGCGGGCUAGAGUGCAGUAGGGGAGACUGGAAUUCCCGGUGUAACGGUGGAAUGUGUAGAUAUCGGGAAGAACACCAAUGGCGAAGGCAGGUCUCUGGGCUGUUACUGACGCUGAGAAGCGAAAGCGUGGGGAGCGAACAGG